UCGAACGAACCUUCGGGUUAGUGGCGGACGGGUGAGUAACGCGUGGGAAUCUGCCCUCAGGAGGGGGAUAACGGCUGGAAACGGCCGCUAAUACCCCAUAUGCCGAGAGGUGAAAUGAAUUUCGCCUGAGGAUGAGCCCGCGUCUGAUUAGCUAGUUGGUGAGGUAAGAGCUCACCAAGGCAUCGAUCAGUAGCUGGUCUGAGAGGAUGAUCAGCCACACUGGGACUGAGACACGGCCCAGACUCCUACGGGAGGCAGCAGUGGGGAAUUUUCCGCAAUGGGCGAAAGCCUGACGGAGCAACGCCGCGUGAGGGAUGAAGGCCUCUGGGCUGUAAACCUCUUUUCUCAAGGAAGAAGAUCUGACGGUACUUGAGGAAUAAGCCACGGCUAAUUCCGUGCCAGCAGCCGCGGUAAUACGGGAGUGGCAAGCGUUAUCCGGAAUUAUUGGGCGUAAAGCGUCCGCAGGCGGCCCUUCAAGUCUGCUGUUAAAACGUGGAGCUUAACUCCAUCAUGGCAGUGGAAACUGUUGGGCUUGAGUGUGGUAGGGGCAGAGGGAAUUCCCGGUGUAGCGGUGAAAUGCGUAGAUAUCGGGAAGAACACCAGUGGCGAAGGCGCUCUGCUGGGCCAUAACUGACGCUCAUGGACGAAAGCCAGGGGAGCGAAAGGGAUUAGAUACCCCUGUAGUCCUGGCCGUAAACGAUGAACACUAGGUGUCGGGGGAAUCGACCCCCUCGGUGUCGUAGCCAACGCGUUAAGUGUUCCGCCUGGGGAGUACGCACGCAAGUGUGAAACUCAAAGGAAUUGACGGGGGCCCGCACAAGCGGUGGAGUAUGUGGUUUAAUUCGAUGCAACGCGAAGAACCUUACCAGGGUUUGACAUCCUGCGAACCUCUUGGAAACGAGAGGGUGCCUUCGGGAACGCAGUGACAGGUGGUGCAUGGCUGUCGUCAGCUCGUGUCGUGA
rnacentral:rRNA from 1 species